GUCAUAUCGUUUGAAAACAUAAAGCAGUCCAGUUCUGAGUAUCAAUGCUUAAGGAAAUAUGCUGUCUCAUGGAUGAGACAGCAGGACUUAGGAAUGCAGAAACCCACUGAUUUGCCGGCUUUUUGAGAUGAGAUCUUCGGUAGCCCAAACUAUCCUCACUAUGGAGGUGAUCUCCUCAGCCAAGACCCGAAGCAGCUGGAAGGGCCUUGCUGGGACAUCAGUCCCAAGCUCUGGAAUGCCUCAGCCUCCAAACUGUGAGAAACAAAGAUAUUCUGUUAGGACAGCAGAAAAUGAACUGAGCCAUUUCAGUUUCAGAAGAUGGAGUAGAAGAGGCACGGCCUGUGCUGGGACCAGCAUGACAGAAAUGUCAGGAGAUGUCUGGAAUUAA
rnacentral:lncRNA from 1 species